rnacentral:rRNA from 1 species
GACGAACGCUGGCGGCGUGCUUAACACAUGCAAGUCGAACGGAAAGGCCCUGCUUUUGUGGGGUGCUCGAGUGGCGAACGGGUGAGUAACACGUGAGUAACCUGCCCUUUACUUUGGGAUAACUUCAGGAAACUGGGGCUAAUACCGGAUAGGAGCUCCUGCUGCAUGGUGGGGGUUGGAAAGUUUCGGCGGUUGGGGAUGGACUCGCGGCUUAUCAGCUUGUUGGUGGGGUAGUGGCUUACCAAGGCUUUGACGGGUAGGCGGCCUGAGAGGGUGACCGGCCACAUGGGGACUGAGAGACGGCCCAGACUCCUACGGGAGGCAGCAGUGGGGAAUAUUGCACAAUGGGGGGAAGCCUGAUGCGGAAACGCCGCGUGCGGGAUGACGGCCUUCGGGUUGUAAACCGCUUUCGCCUGUGACGAAGCGUGAGUGACGGUAAUGGGUAAAGAAGCACCGGCUAACUACGUG